rnacentral:rRNA from 1 species
UCUAGCAUGUGCGCGAGUCAUUGGGUGCAAAACCUAAAGGCGUAAUGAAAGUGUCAGAGGGCGCUUGCGCCCUCAGUGGGAGGAUGGGUUUCCGGCCCCCCGGCCGGUGCCCCGCACUCCCGGGGCGUCUCAUUCUCGUUUCGAGUCGAGACGCACCAGGAGCGCACACGCUGGUACCCGAAAGAUGGUGAACUAUGCCUGGCCAGGACGAAGCCAGGGGAAACCCUGGUGGAGGUCCGAAGCGAUUCUGACGUGCAAAUCGAUCGUCUGAGCUGGGUAUAGGGGCGAAAGACCAAUCGAACCAUCUAGUAGCUGGUUCCUUCCCAAAAGANGACUCGGNGGGCGGNUUCC